rnacentral:misc_RNA from 1 species
AACGCACCUUGCGCUCCUUGGUAUUCCGAGGAGCAUGCCUGUUUGAGUGUCAUUUAAUUCUCAAUCUCUACAAACUUGUGUUGUUGGUGGAUUGGAGGUGGGGGUUUUGUGGGUGUAACCAUUAUUAUAUCUACUCCCCUGAAAAUCAUUAGCUGGAAUGCCUUUGCAAAACCAACUAUCAGUAUGAUAAUUAUCUAUUCUGAUGUUGUUGUGAAGGGAAUCUGCUUUCAAACCGUCGUCCUGACACUUUGAAUCCAUUUGACCUCAAAUCAGGUAGGACUACCCGCUGAACUUAA